CACCACGAGAGUUUGUAACACCCGAAGUCGGUGAGGUAACCUUUUAGGAGCCAGCCGCCGAAGGUGGGACAGAUGAUUGGGGUGAAGUCGUAACAAGGUAGCCGUAUCGGAAGGUGCGGCUGGAUCACCUCCUUUCUAAGGA
rnacentral:rRNA from 2 species